CUCAAAUAAGUAAUAAUUUCUUGUCCUUUUUCACUACCCACUAAAGACCAAUCUUUUAGCUUUCUUUAACUUACUGGUAUAUCUGUUGCAUUUAGGUAGGGCUCGGGUUUUGGGUCUUGCUGCUAGCCAAUCCAGGACGAGAUGGUCCACCGGAGCCAGGGGCUAGAUUUGCUCAAGGCAGAACUUAUUGGCUAGCACGUAGGUAGAUUUCAAGCUCUUGAUCUUGUAA